CCUACGGGAUGCAGCAGUGGGGGAUAUUGCACAAUGGGGGAAACCCUGAUGCAGCGACGCCGCGUGGGCGAAGAAGUAUUUCGGUAUGUAAAGCCCUAUCAGAAGGGAAGAAGAAAUGACGGUACCUGAGUAUGAUGCACCGGCUAAAUAUGGGCAAGCAGCCGCGGUAAUAUGGAGGAUUCAAGCAUUAUCCGGAUUUAUUGGGUUUAAAGGGUGCGUAGGCGGUCGGAUAAGUUAGAGGUGAAAUCCCGAGGCUCAACUUCUGGUUUGCCUCUGAUACUGUUCGGCUAGAGAGUAGUGGCGGUGGGCGGAAUGUAUGGUGUAGCGGUGAAAUGCGUAGAUAUUAGGAGGAACACCAGUGGCGAAGGCGGCCUGCUGGACGGCAACUGACGGUGAGGCGCGAAAGCGUGGGGAGCAAACAGGAUUAGAUACCCGAGUAGUC
rnacentral:rRNA from 1 species